rnacentral:rRNA from 1 species
CGCGUGUACUGGUCCGGCCGGGCCUUUCCUUCUGGAGAUCCCCAUGCCCUUCACUGGGUGUGUGGGGGAACCAGGACUUUUACUUUGAAAAAAUUAGAGUGUUCAAAGCAGGCCUUUGCUCAAAUACUUUAGCAUGGAAUAAUAAAAUAAGACGUGCGGUCCUAUUUUGUUGGUUUCUAAGACCGCUGUAAUGAUUAAUAGGGAUAGUCGGGGGCAUCAAUAUUCAAUUGUCAGAGGUGAAAUUCUUGGAUUUAUUGAACACUAACUACUGCGAAAGCAUUUGCCAAGGAUGUUUUCUUUUAUCAGUGAACGAAAGUUAGGGGAUCGAAGACGAUCAUAUACCGUCAUACUCUUAACCGUAAACUAUGCCGACUAGGGAUCGGGCGAUGUUUCUUUCUUGACUCGCUCGGCACCUUACGAGAAAUCAAAGUUUUUGGGUUCUGGGGGGAGUAUGGUCGCAAGGCUGAAACUUAAAGAAAUUGACGGAAGGGCCCCCCCGGGCGGGGAGCCUGCGGUUUAAUUUGACUCAACACGGGGAAACUCCCCAGGUCCAGAUGAAAUAAGGAUUGACAGAUUGAGAGCUCUUUCUUGAUUUUUCAGGUGGUGGUGCAUGGCCGUUCUUAGUUGGUGGAGUGAUUUGUCUGAUUAAUUGCGAUAACGAAGGAGACCUUAACCUGCUAAAUAGCCAGGCUAGCUUUGGCUGGUCGCCGGCUUCUUAGAGGGACGAUUGG